AGCAGCCGCGGUAAUUCCAGCUCCAAUAGCGUAUAUUAAAGUUGUUGCAGUUAAAAAGCUCGUAGUUGAAUUUCGGGGUCAGUAGGUUGGUCGUGCCACCGGUACGUACUGGUCUCACUGAUUCCUCCUUCCUGAUGAGCUGUAAUGCCAUUAAUUUGGUGUUGCAGGGAAUCUGGACUGUUACUUUGAAAAAAUUAGAGUGUUUAAAGCAGGCUAACGCUUGAAUACAUUAGCAUGGAAUAAUGAAAUAGGACGUUCGAUCCUAUUUUGUUGGUUUCUAGGAUUGACGUAAUGAUUAAUAGGGAUAGUUGGGGGCAUUAGUAUUCAAUUGUCAGAGGUGAAAUUCUUGGAUUUAUUGAAGACUAACUACUGCGAAAGCAUUUGCCAAGGAUGUUUUCAUUAAUCAAGAACGAAAGUUAGGGGAUCGAAGACGAUCAGAUACCGUCGUAGUCUUAACCAUAAACUAUGCCGACUAGGGAUCGGAUGAUGUUAAUUUUUUAAUGA
rnacentral:rRNA from 1 species